rnacentral:rRNA from 1 species
AUUGAACGCUGGCGGCGUGCUUAACACAUGCAAGUCGAUCGGUAACGCGGGGGCAACCCUGGCGACGAGAGGCGGACGGGUGAGGAACGCUUGGGAAUCUGCCUAUCAGCGGGGGACAACCCGGGGAAACUCGGGCUAAUACCGCAUACGCUCUACGGAGGAAAGCCGGGGACCGCAAGGCCUGGCACUGAUAGAUGAGCCCAAGUCGGAUUAGCUAGUUGGCGGGGUAACGGCCCACCAAGGCGACGAUCCGUAGCUGGUCUGAGAGGACGAUCAACCACACUGGAACUGAGACACGGCCCAGACGCCUACGGGAGGCAGCAGUGGGGAAUAUUGGACAAUGGGGGAAACCCUGAUCCAGCGACGCCGCGUGGGUGAAGAAGGCCUGCGGGUUGUAAAGCCCUUUCGGUAGGGACGAAAGCUCUCGACCUAACACGUCGGGGGGUUGACUUAACCUACAAAAGAAGCACCGGCUAACUCUGUGCCAGCCGCCGCGGUAAUAC